rnacentral:rRNA from 1 species
GACGAACGCUGGCGGCGUGCUUAACACAUGCAAGUCGAACGAAGAGCGAUGGAAGCUUGCUUCUAUCACUCUUAGUGGCGAACGGGUGAGUAACGCGUAAUCAACCUGCCCUUCAGAGGGGGACAACAGUUGGAAACGACUGCUAAUACCGCAUACGAUCUAAUCUCGGCAUCGAGGAUAGAUGAAAGGUGGCCUCUACAUGUAAGCUAUCACUGAAGGAGGGGAUUGCGUCUGAUUAGCUAGUUGGAGGGGUAACGGCGCACCAAGGCGAUGAUCAGUAGCCGGUCUGAGAGGAUGAACGGCCACAUUGGGACUGAGACACGGCCCAGACUCCUACGGGAGGCAGCAGUGGGGAAUCUUCCGCAAUGGACGAAAGUCUGACGGAGCAACGCCGCGUGAGUGAUGACGGCCUUCGGGUUGUAAAGCUCGGUUAAUCGGGACGAAAGGCCUUCUUGCGAACAGUUAGAAGGAUUGACGGUAUCGGAAUAGAAAGCCACGGCUAACUACGUG